CCGUCACUGUAUGUUGAGGCAACAUUAAAUCUAAAAAGGAAGCUUGUCCUUAUAAUAUAUAUCAUGAGUCAUGUGUGCUAAACACACCCCCAUUUGCUUUCCUCAUCAGCCUCUACCCACACGUCAAUGUGAUCGCACUUACACAAAGCAUUAUGGGGGGGGGGGGAAGCAGACAAGCAGAUAGAUGUGAAGCUUUAAAUUAGUCUAGAUUGUCCUUUGUGUGACAAGAAUAGACUCCAAACAUGCCCUUAUUUAUCUAUAAUUUUUUUAUAGGACACAAAACGGAGAUCUCACGUGGCUGUGGCAUCAUACGUGUGUUAAAACAGUAUUUUUGUCAUAAAUGAAUGCCAGAUAGAUGCAGUCAAUGCCUUGUAUACUGUAAUUUCUCAUGUAUAAUAUGCAUUUUCUUCCAAAAAACAUAAACAAUCGAUUGUGCAUAUUAUUCAUAGGUAGAAGGAUGUGUCAAACAAUUUUGACACAUUGUAAUGACAGUGGUACCUAGGGUCUGUGAAAUAUGUGUACUUUCAUUCCAAUAUGAUAUGUAAUGUCUAAUGUUACCUAUUUAUAUAUAAUACGGUACAUUUUCUCUGCUCAGCCGAGAAUCAUGACGUCCUCACUGGCGGUGCCAUAUCAUAUCAUAUCUUAUCUUUCUACCGCGUCCGUUCCACGGCAUUGGAUUUAACAUCUUAGUUUACUUGACAGUAGAUUUAUUUCUUGUACCGUCACUUCACAGAGCACGUCUCCCAAGUUAAAAAAUGUUAAAUGAAAGAAUACGUUGUUAGCAAGAAAACACGGAAGACAACUGGAAGUCCAGCACUCCAGAAACUAAUGUCUAGAACACAUUAACCAGACCUUAGUUCCACAUAGGAAUUACGUCAACUCACCACCACAGUACUUUCAUUCCAAUAUGAUAUGUAAUGUCUAACUUUACAAAUGUAUAUCGAAUACGGUAAAUCAUGACGGCUUAACGGGCGCUGCCAUAUCAUGCUACUCAUUGCCCUACUGCAGUAGUAGGGUGACUCCAGUAAAGGGUUGCUAAUUUCAAAACAUUUAGGACAUUUUUGUGCUCAUCAGUAAUCUACCAAAGUGUUUCCCUGACUUUUUAAACCACGCACCCCCCUGCCCACAAAGCUUUGAAAAAUAUCUGAAUUUCUGGAGAGAAAAAAAAAAAUAAAUCACAAAAGUAAAUGUGUAAAUUGGACCACAUUUUGGGUGUGCGCGCCACAGUUUGGCAAUCCCCCUUGCAGCAGAUCUGCAGUGAGUUCAGCGGAAUGUCUGAUGAAUGAUGAUACAUUGGCUCCAUGCUUGGGGGUCAGGAACAAUCACAAUGUGACAGCCGCCUGCGAGAAAAGUGGAUUACAUGAGAGGUUUUAUCUCCAAGUCUCUAGUCCCCCCCUUUUGUCAGUCCUCUGACAAGCCCCCCCGUCAGUGAGUUUCUCCUCCAUCUUGUAACAUUUGCUCCAGCCCGGGGUAGGAACGAGGAGAGACUCGUCCCUGUAAAUAUCAUCAUUCACACCUGAAGGUCACCGCUUUGGCACUGUCUCCUCGGAGCACGUCAGGAGGCGAGACACCGGCUCAAAAUACCAUUAGCAUUUCAUCAUUAAGUCUAUUAUAUGCGCUCCAAAUGUCAAUUUGCAUAGCGUGUCAUGCCCGGCCGAAGGGCGGUGGCCUGUCUUGCGUGUCUCCCCUAGUUUUUGUCCAAAGACAAGAAAGGCUUGACAGGAGGUGUGAAUUUUCCACCCAUGAUUAAUUUAGCUCUUCCUGUGGCAGCGGCACGUCACGAGCAUUUGCCAUCCCGAUGAUGCUGCAACGGAAAACCAGACUGGCAGCAAUGCCAAAACCCAUUUCGCAGUCUCCCUACGGCGCUCGGAGUUUGUGUUUGGAGUCACACGGCUGAAAUUCGAUCAGCUUCACAGCAUCUCACCUGAAGGUUCUCUAUCAUGCCAGUCAGGCUGGAUUGGAGCUGUGGCCAAGCAAAGCCCCCUCGAGUCUAUUUUCGCUCUUCGUGAUUCUGCCUUUGUCAGGCGACACCCAACCUCCAACCCCUCAAGCCAUCAACUCCCAUCCUUUGCGUGAUAUUGUUUUCUUUCGAUAUUGUUUAAUCAACUGGUGAGGAUUUGCUUUCCAGGCAUGAAAAAAUGUUCUUCUACGAACCACAAAACCUCAUUGAAGAUAAUCUGUCACUCGGAAAUCAUCUUCUUGGUAACAAAUAACUUCAGGGAGAAUAUGUUUUGCUGUAGUAAUGAAAAACUAGACUGUCUCUCUAAGGUUUGGCCAUGCAUGGCAGACUCCACCGCCUUGCAUGCACGGGCUAAAACCUAUGUUUAAUUUCCACUCUUGUGCUGCACUGGGUACCCCAUGAAUUAUUAAUGUCCAUCAGAAGCGAAGGCGGCAGUUCAUUUUGGAAGCUUUGUAUUUGUGUCGGAUGGGAAUAAGGAGUGAAUUGAGAUAAGAUUCCGAGGAGGGAGGGUCUCAAACCACGGGUAGCUUAGUGGGGUCACAGACGUUUUCAAAGAACCAACCACUUGGGGAAGCGUUAGACAGGGAGUACUAUAGUCUCUUGUCUGAUGAGCUCUUUAUCCAGAAGAUUCAGCUAUGUUGAUCGACAGAAUAUCAUGGUGCGUCAAACGCUGAAAGUGGAUUUCCAAAGCAAACAAACGCAACUAAGCAGUUUAUUUAAACCAAAAAGAGCACGCAAGCGUGAGAAAAUCACAAGUAACAAAAGACGACAUUGACAAAAGGUUGACAUGGAAAAGUGAAAUAGAGUAAGGAGAACAAACAAAAACAGGAGGAUGAGGACAACCGCUACCAAACAAAACACAAAAUCAAAAACAUACCCGAGGCUGAAAACUAGAAACAGAAAAUCACCGUAGUACUUACGAACAAAGACUGGAUGGAGGUUGACACACCCUAAAAACAAUUUGGGAAUUCAUUUAUGUACACUGCGAAAUGUAGUGAACCUAAAAUGGAUCCCUGUGGUACCCCAAGGACGGAGAUUGGAGCUCACCCCGUUAAACUUCAGACAUUGUUGUCUUCCUUCUCGGUAAGAUUUAAACCAUAACAUUUUAAAAUGUCAUCUGCAGGAAAUAUUUUCUUUCUUUCAUAUUCUUUAAUUGUCUGCACCCCUUCCCCUUCUCACCAAGACGCAACGGAGACAUGGUAUGUCAAGGCAACAAUUCACCUGUUCUAAUCUGUCUCUGAUUCAUCGCAGGCGCAACAAAGCGCUUGUGACAGGUGACAGGGAGUUGCUCAUUUGGCACAAAUGCACCACGUUAUAAAAGAGAGCAAAUGUGUUAGUGACCUAUAUUCUCCGCCUGCAUAUAGAAAGCAAUCCGGCAAAGCAGAUCCCUCCUGUAUCGGCCGACCCAUCUGCUGCGACUCUCCUUCCCGGGAGGCCAGUGGGAGGUAACGCUGCUUCUCUGCUGUGACAGGCGCAGCCAGACUGGGAAGGUUGAUUCAUGGAUAAAUUGUCACAAAGCGAUCCUUUUUGUGCCUACCCACACUUCCCACAGGUACUGUGUCACACAGGUGCAGUCGACGUGCUAAGGGCUUUGUUUGACACAUAUAUCAUCGGUGUAAUUACUGUACAUUUGGUUCUGAACAAUGCCAGACCCAAUUAGAGCACUGAGUGAGGUUUAAAAUGAGAUGGAGGUCAAAUAUGACUCAUUCACACAAACAGGUGCAAUAACUUCAAAGUGGGUCAGAAGUCUUGUUUAUUCUUUAGCCCACGUCUCAACUCCUUUGGGAAAUUUAAUGGGAAUUGUUGUUUUUGUGUAAGCCUUCUAACAAACAUGCAAAACACACAAACUUUUACCUGCUUGGAUUGUGACAGCAAAGUCUUCUCUGUUGCUCUUAACACUAUCAGAAGCACUGACAUGCAUUUAAAACCUAGAUUCUAAUAUUUGCUUCCAAUACAUUACUUUGGUCAAUCAGAUUGCAACCGCUAUGUGCUGCCAUGUCACUCUUCUCUGACCAGGGCCGUCAGGAUCAGUAGUGUUGCCAGAUCUACUUUCAACUACAUUAACAAUGGGACUGUUUCUAUAACCAAUCCGAUUUCAAAUUCGUCCGUUCCGGUUCAGAGUGCUAGCCCUCGAUGACAUCGCAUUUUUCUGUCCUCUGACUGAUUGGUCAAAGAAAGCCAAGUUGGACUAGCAAAUCACAUCUGGAGCAAUCUAAUCAGCAUUUCUGCAAAACGCUACCACCGCUGGUCCCUAAUGACACUGAAGGGAAAUAAAUGUUUACAACAAGAGACUGAUUGCUUACUGCUCACAAAGUGCACGGAACAUGCAUUACACAGAUGCCGAGGCAGCCAUCCGUGCACACAGCAGCAACAACAACAACAACAUUCAAAGCUUUCCAGUAAUAAAAGAUGGCACCAUCUCCAAAUCAAAGACUGGCGUCUGUGAAGAUGAGACCAAUGAUUGGACAGACCUCUCCAGGCAGGCUGAUGGCCGCCGCGUUGACGGCGGCAUGUGAAGAAGGCCACCGAGGCCAGCCAAUCACCUGCCAGAUUUUUGCCGCUCGUCAGUGAACCGGCACUUUCUCUAUCAACUGCCUACAAAUGACUCUUUCAUGUAUAAUUAGUUCUAUCUCACUUCCCCUGAACCAAACUGCGUGGCCAUGACAAGCGCAUAAUAGCUUUAUGUCUCGCGCAUUUACACAGUGCGAUGGAUCAAG